CUUCUCAGGGCGGGGCGAAAUUCCCCACCGGCGGUAACUUGAAAAUUCAAGAAGCCCGCGAGCGCCUUGGUUCAAACUUUGGACUGAGGGUCAAGCAGAUCUGGUGCAACUCCAGAGCCGACGGUCAUAGUCCGGAUGAAAGAGAAG
rnacentral:ncRNA from 1 species